rnacentral:rRNA from 1 species
CAACAGGGAUUGCCUCAGUAACGGCGAGUGAAGCGGCAACAGCCCAGAUUUGAAAUCAGGUACCUUCGGUGCCCGAGUUGUAAUCUGCAGAUGGAUCUUCUGGUCGAGAGCGCGCCCAAGUCCCCUGGAAUGGGGCGCCGUAGAGGGUGAGAGCCCCGUACGGGCGCCGCGCUCGGCCUCCGCGAAGUCCAUUCGACGAGUCGAGUAGUUUGGAAAUGCUGCUCUAAUCGUGGGGUAAAUCUCCCAUAAGGCUAAAUAGCGGCCGGAGACCGAUAGCGCACAAGUAGCGUGAGCGAAAGAUGAAAAGAGCCUUGGACAAGGGCGUCAAAAAGCAUGUGAAAUUGUUAUGGGGGAAGCGCCCGUCGCCAGACGUGGCGGCGGCCGGUAACCCGGCGUCCUCGCCGGCUCACUCGGCCGCCUGCCAGGCCAGCAUCGUCUCGCUCCGGGGCCCAAUUCUCGCGGAAACGUAGCCCCUCGGGGUGUUAUAGCCCGCGGGAGACGCCCCGGCGCGGGACGAGGUACCGCGCAUCUGCACGGAUGCUGGCGUAAUGGCGCCCGGCGACCCGUCUUGAAACACGGACCAAGGAGUUGACCUAACGCGCGAGUGUACGGGUGGAAAGCCCCUGCGCGCAGUGAAAGCGAACGCCGGUGGGAGCCCGCAAGGGCGCACCAUCGACCGAUCCUGAAGCUUGCGGAUGGAUUUGAGUAGGAGCGCGUUGGGUCUGACCCGAAAGAAGGUGAACUAUGCAUGGAUAGGGUGAAGCCAGAGGAAACUCUGGUGGAGGCUCGCAGCGGUUCUGACGUGCAAAUCGAUCGUCGAAUCUGUGCAUGGGGGCGAAAGACCAAUCGA